UCAUCAUUCCACGUGCUCUCUCACCGGUCAGAGAGGCGAGAAAGUGUGCGGAAUGAAGAGA
rnacentral:pre_miRNA from 1 species